rnacentral:lncRNA from 10 species
GGAGGGGGCGCACGCCUGACCCACUUUUCCCCACGCCCCCGCUCCAGCCCCCACCCCACCCGGUGGAAGUCCGAGGCCUGAGGGGGGGCAUCGAGCGGGGCGUGGGAGGCCCGCACGCUCCCCACCCCCAGCCGCGACCCGGAGGAGGGGAACGUGCCGGGAGGCUCGAGUCCCCCUCCCAGAGUGCUCUGGGCCGGAGAAACCUCCCGCAGGCUCCCGGGCCAGGCGUGCAAGGCCCCCUCUCCUGCCAGGGCCCAGGACGCUGCGGGCCCCAGCGGAGGGGAAGGGGACUAAGUAGGGGAAGAAGCUGUAAACAGCCCCAGCGUCCGGGCCUCGCCUCGAAGAGCCGCGCUUCCCAGGCCCAGCCGCGGGCCGCCCAGGCCCCCAGCCUGCCCCGGGGCCGCCGCGCCCGGGGUCCGGGACACCGGAGGGGAGUCGGGUCCCCUCCCCGGAGAGCUCCGGGAGCUCGCGGAGCGGCCCCAGGAGCAGAGAAGGGGGAAGUCAGGACUUACCUGUCAUUACUUUCUACGCCAUCUUGGAUCCACUUGUCAACGUCCCCACAAAGCAUUAUGGCGCCGCCCCCUCCGGCCGCGCCUCCCGCCCGGAAAGUUGCCCCGGGUGGACUGCCGACCCCGGCGCCCGCAGCUGGCCCCUUCCCCUCCCCCGGGCUGACGGCAUUGAAAAUUCACCCGCAUUUUUAAAACGUGGCUUUGGGGUUUUCUCCCUUUCUCCUGCCCCGGCCUCCCUGCCCCCACGCCCGGUCCUCUCGCCUCGCCGCGUUCCUGCCCGGGCAGACGCCCCGCGUCUGCAUUGAAUCAACCCGAGGUUUCCUUGCCGCCCGCGGCGCGGCGCGGAGCUGCUCGCGGAUUUAUUUGUGCGCGUGGAUGUGAGCGUUUCUGCUCCUGCGGCCGCGCUUCCAGGAAGCCCGCGAGCGGCCGGGGUCGCCUUCAGAGGCCGCGCAGACCAGCUCCGCACCCGCCGCCCGGAGAGGUGCCUCUGCCCUGGGAAACCGCCCCGGGGCCGUUGGGCUCCGGGAACUGGGAGGACGCCGUGUCCCCGAGUCCACCAGCGUCGAAGCACGAUUUAAAAAAAAAAAUUGAGCCAAAUGCAACUUUUUACCCCUUGUUUACUCUGUGUCCCGCGGUCUCCUCCUCCGGGCGGGUAACGUGAUCCGCGACCCUCUAGGUGGGGACCCCUCCCCUAGGAAUGUGGCUCCAGGCUCCGCGGAGCCACCCUGGGAGCGUCCGGGCUGCGGACUGUGACUCCGGGGCAGUGUGUGCAUCCAAGCCCAACCUUGUCAAAUACACCGCCUGUUGCCUGAGCUGGGACGGCCUGCCGACUCUUCUCCCUGCCCCUCCUGGAUACCUACAAUGCAUCCUCCACCUGACCAACCCUGUGAUAUUUUAUGAAUGUAAAUCAGAUCGAGACUUCUCUGCUGAAACCUUGGAAUAAAACCCAGAUUCCCAACCCUGGCCUACAAGCUCCUGUGUGAGGUGGUCCCACCUUCCCUCACCAGCAGUGGUCCAGGCUGGCCUUCUCUCUUUCCCUGCAGCGCCCCAAGCUUCCUUCCAGUGAGAACCCUAUUCCCCCAGAUCUUCUGAUUAUCUUUUCUUUGACAGAGUCUUGUUCUGUCGACCAGGCUAGAGUGCAGUAGCGCGAUCUCAAUUCACUGCAACCUCCGCCUUCUAGGUUCAAGCUGUUCUCUGCCUCAACCUCCUGAGUAGCUGGGAUUACAGGCGUCCGCCACCGCGCCCGGCUCAUUUUUGUAUUUUUAGUAGAGACAGGGUUUCACCAUCUUGGCCAGGGUGAUCUUGAACUACUGACCUCGUGAUCCAUGCGCCUUGGCCUCCCAAAGUGCUGGGAUUACAGGCGUGAGCCACCACGCCCGACCCAUCAUCUUUUCAUCAUAUUUAGGUCCCCUCAAAGAGGACUUUUGUGAUCCCCCUACCCAGACCAAGUCACUCUGAACACUUGACCUGUGUUAGAAGUUCUCUUGUUUAGGUCGGACGCUGUGGCUCAUGCCUGUAAUCCCAGCACUUUGGGAGGCCAAGGUGGGUGGAUCACAAGGUCAGGAGUUCAAGACCAGCCUGGCCAAGAUGGUGAAACCCUGUCUCUACUAAAGGUACAAAAAUUACAGCGCGCCUGUAAUCCCAGCUACUCGGGAGGCUGAGGCAGGAGAAUUGCUUGAACCUGGGGGGCCAAGGUUGCAGUGAGCCAAGAUCGUGCCACUGCCCUCCAGCCUGGGUGACAGAGUGAGAAUUCCAUCUCAAAAAAAAAGUUCUCUUGUUUGCCUGUUGUUAGUUGUUUCUUAUCUGCCCCGCCCCCAUUUGAUCAUAUGCUCCCUCUGGGCACAGGCUCUGUCUGGCUUAUUUGCCUCAGUGACUAGACCAGGGCCUGGCACAUACAUAGACGCUCACCAAGUAUUAGUCGAGUACAUGACCAAACUUCUCUCAGGGAUGGGCGUGUUGAUGAAAAGGAGUGCUAAAGUGUGAAGUGAGAUGCUGAGGGCCCUGCCUCGCAUCUCUUCAGACCACUGACCACACACAGCUAGAGGCAGGCAGAAAGGAACAGUGUUGAGGGAAAACAGGUCCCUUGGCCACCACUGAUUUAGCUCAAUUCUGAUUCUGAUCUCAUGAACACACACAGCCCUAACUAACUGAUCCCCCCGACAUCACAUCCCUCUUCCUUCCCACAUUUUUUCUUUCUCCUCUGCUCCCACUGGCCGUGGCUUCUUUUCUUUUCUUUUUUUUUUUUUUUUUUGAAACAGUGUCUUUCUCUGUCACCCAGGCCGGAGUGCAGUGGCGCGAUCUUGGCUCACUGCAACCUCCACCUCCUGGGUUCAAGCGAUUCUCCUGCCUCAGCCUCCCGAAUGCUGGCACCACAGGCACACACCACCACGCCCAGGUAAUUUUUGUAUUUUUAGUAGAGACAGGGUUUCACCAUGUUAACUAGGCUGGUCUCGAACUCCUAGCCUGAAGUGACCCACCCGCCUCGGCUU